rnacentral:lncRNA from 1 species
UCCCUGGGCCAAGAAUAUACAAACCAUCACAUCUGCCCUUUCUAUUUCCAGCUGAUCCAUCCUGUCAUAUCAACAUAACUUCUGUAUUAACUGUCAUAGCAGAACUCUUCUGACAUUUUAAAACAUUUGAUUUCUGGAGACUUAAAAUAUGAAAUCUUCUAAGUUUGUUGUAGUGUUUUGUUUUGUUUUGUUUCAAACCUAGUACUAAAGCUUUCUGAGCAGACAUAAACUCUGUAUGGAAAUAUCAUACCAGGAACAUUAAACUAACAAAAAUCACUGUAUAAAAUCAGCAGCAGGCUAUUUGUACAAGGUCCACUGUGUAAAAUCAGUGUCAGGUUAUGUGUACGAGUUGUAUAAGAAAAACAAACAAAUUACUGGCCUAAAGUUGAGUACUGUUCACGAAAUAUUUCAUUGUGUGCAUAAAAUAUGUUUCCUAAAAUAUCUAAAAGGUGAAAAGAAAGGGUCCCACAUGCUAAAUAAGGAAAGAGUGCUCAGUUUGUGUUUUCUGGUAGAGUGCUGUUGUAAUAAC